GUAUAUUAUCAUGAUAAAUGCAGGAAAAAUAAUAAUAUUAUACGGCCUGAAAAUUCAAUUUCAGAUAGCACUAUGCAGUCUGAAAAAUUAAGUUCAGACAGCAACAAACAAGAAAAUAGAAUGCAGUCUGGAAAUUCAGACAGCAACAAACAAGAAAAUAGUACGAAAAAGUACUAUCAUUGCUCAAGGUAAAAAUUUGUAAGGUAGGUUUAUUUUAAUUAUUUUGGUUUUAAUGUAUGAAAUUAAAUUUUUAAGAGGUUUUCUAAACUUAACAUCAUGUUUUUGAAUAUGAUUUUUUUGACCUCAUAGUUGAAGACUUAAUAGAUUCAUCACAUGUGGAAAUUGAUUUGUACAAGGGAAGUAUCUAAUGUUCUUCAGAAUUUACGUUUUUCGGUAAUCCAUUCAUUAUAACUAAACUUCCAAACAUUUAGGAAUUAAAAUUGUAACAGAGAUAAUGUGGUCUAUGCCCUGAAAUUUCUUGCCCUGAAAUUCAGUGAAUGACAUACUACUUUUAUUUGAAACUGAUUGAACAAAUUAUUCACAGUCUUCUCUAAGAGUCCAAGUCUGUUGACUAUGAUCCAAGAGUCCACAGUCUGAUUGAACAAUGGAUUUUCUAAACCAUAUACACUCCAGAGAGAGGUCUUUUUUUGUUUUUAAUGUCAACCCUCUAUCUAAUUAAUAAUCAUGCCCUUAAUUAUCAAUUGGACUAGAGGUGAUGAAACAGUUGAUCUAAUGCGCUAUUUGCUAGGAUAUGUCUAUAACUAAUUUUUUUCCCCAAGAGCUUAUACUAGGGCCACAAAGGUUUUUGAAGAAUCUGUCCACAAAGGUUUUCAGCAAUCCCCAUUGCCAUCUGGAAAAAACAUUGAAAUGAAAAGAGGAGAUUGGACUUGUUCAAAGUAAGUCUAAAUUUUUUUCCUAAUUUUCUCACGCGAUUUAAAAAAAUAUGAUGACAAGAUCUUAUAUGCCUUUGCACAUAUAAAACUUCAACCAUUAGACUGAUUUUGAUGAAAAUAGAAACAAAGAAUUUUUUUAGGGAUUCAACAUAUUUUUUAGGGAUUAAACAAAUCGUGGACAAACAAAUGAACAAAUCGUGGAUUUAACAGAUCUAUUUUUGUCCCAAACCAAACUAAAAGAAAAUAAGAAUAGAAUACACAUUACCGUGUAGGAUGGGAGUGCCGGAGUGGAGAUCGGUUUGUGAAGUGCAGGGAUUUAGAAAGAAAUAUCGCUGCCGAGAUUAGGGAUUUAACGUCGCCGCUGCCGCUAGAAUUCGACGUGAAAAAGAAAUAUCUGCCGGAAAAAAUCUAAUGGUUUCUUUUUUCAGAAAUGAAGUAUUUCACCCAAAAGUAAAUGAAGCUAUCACAUGUUCUCAGAAAUGAAGUAUUUCACCCAAUUUUCUACAACUAUUCUUCCAUCCAAGAUUGGAAGAAUAGUUUAUGAACAAAUCAUUCAAGAUGAUAUAUAUAAAAACAAAAGAAGAAUAACUAAAAUUCAAAAUUCAAAUAAACAAAAAAAUAUGAAACAGGCCAACACAAGACCUGGUCUUGAAUCAGAAUCAAAUAAAAAUUCAGAGACACAUAAAAAAACCAAAACAGGAAUAAAUAGAAAAUUAUUGGCUAUAACUGAAGAUAAUCAGGCCAAUAACAAUUCAGAUCAUGAUAGAAACUAUUCUGAAGAAAGAAUUCCAGAAAUAGAAGAAAUAAGUCAAAUAAAUGAAAAUAAUAAUUUUCAAGAAAAUAAAACAUCCUCUGAAGAUAGAAGAACAUUAGAAAGAGGAAAAUUCACUAAAAAAAAAACAAAAGAACUAACCCUAGACAAGAUAACCAAAACAGUCAAGAGACUGGUCCAGGGGAUACCUCAGGGAAAGACCAAGAAAGGACUGCCUCACCUGAUUUUGAAAAAAAUUCAGAAACAGUAGGAAACAUGCAUAAAAAUAGAUCAAACCAAAGUCAAAACAUUCAAAAUAACUCAAGAAAUCAGAAUUGUGAAAACAAUUCACAUUUGACAGGUCACAAACAUAAUAAGUCACAUAAUUUUGAGAAAAAUUCAGUGAUAGCAGGUAAUACUAAUAAUCUGCAUAAAAACAUACAAAACCAAGUCCAAAACUCUGAAAAUAACUCAAAAACUCAAGACUAUGAAAGCAAAUCAUCUUCCACAGGUCAUGGAUAUGAUAAAUCACAGAGUUUUGAGCAAAAUUCGACAAUAGCAGGCAAGAUUAAUAACCUGCAUAGAAAUAUACAAAGCAAAACUCAAAAUUCUGAAAAUAAUGCAGGUUUUGUAGGUCAUGAACAAAAUCAAUCAAAUGAUUCAAUGACUGUUUCAAAUAUUGAUAAAAAUAAUUCAGAAAUACUAGAAUGGAAUGGACUAGAGGUGAUGAUCCCAGUAUUAUCUCAGGGAUCCCAGUAUUAUCCAAAAAUUGGUGGUAUUGCAGAAGAUUAUUCAUGCCCUUAAUUAUCAAUUAAUCAUGCCCUUAAUUAUCAAUUGGACUAGAGGUGAUGAACUUACCUGGAAGAUGCUUGACGGCGGACAGGAGUGAACAAGAAGUUGUACGUUCGUCGGAAGAAUGGAGUGACCGAUGGUCCGAUGGAACUAGCCGCUGGUCGUCGCCGGACUGGAGUGUUUACUAGCCUCUGGUCGUCGCUCGCCGGUAUAGAUGCGCCGCUGGUUGCUCGUCAGAAAUCGAAGUAAGAAUCGCCGGAGAUGGGAGUGGGAGAAAAACAAGAUCGCCGGAGGGAAAUCGAUUUGGGUUUUGGGGGUUUUGGGGGGAAAUCGAUUUGGGGGAAAUAAUAUUAUUGGGAAAUUUAUAAUUUGGGAAAUAAUAUAUACUUAAUUUAAAUAAAUUUAUACUUUUGGGAAAUAACUAUAAAAUAAAAUUUAAAAUCUUUUGGGAAAUAACUUUAAAAUGAUAUUACAAUUUAACUUAGUUUAAAAUUUAAAAUUUAAUAUUACAA
rnacentral:lncRNA from 1 species